rnacentral:rRNA from 1 species
GACGAACGCUGGCGGCGUGCUUAACACAUGCAAGUCGAACGGAAAGGCCCUGCUUUUGUGGGGUGCUCGAGUGGCGAACGGGUGAGUAACACGUGAGUAACCUGCCCUUGACUUUGGGAUAACUUCAGGAAACUGGGGCUAAUACCGGAUAGGAGCUCCUGCUGCAUGGUGGGGGUUGGAAAGUUUCGGCGGUUGGGGAUGGACUCGCGGCUUAUCAGCUUGUUGGUGGGGUAGUGGCUUACCAAGGCUUUGACGGGUAGCCGGCCUGAGAGGGUGACCGGCCACACGGGGACUGAGACGCGGCCCAGACUCAGACGGGAGGCAGCAGUGGGGAAUUUUGGACAAUGGGGGCAACCCUGAUCCAGCCAGGCCGCGUGCGGGAAGGAGGCCUUCGGGUUGGAAAGCGCGGUUGUUCGGGAAGAAAUCCUCUGGGCUAAUACCCCGGGGGGAUGACGGUACCGGAAGAAUAAGCACCGGCUAACUACGUG